AACGGCCGUACCAUGCUGAAUAUACCGGUUCUCGUUAGAUCACCGAAGUUAAGCAUCGUUGGGCGCGGUCAGUACUUGGGUGGGUGACCACCUGGGAACACUGCGUGCCGUU
rnacentral:rRNA from 1 species